CAUGCAGUCGAACGAUGAACCACUUCCGUGGGGAUUAUGGGCGAAGGGGUGAGUAACACGUGGGCAAUCUGCCCUUCACUCUGGGACAAGCCCUGGAAACGGGGUCUAAUACCGGAUAACACUGCGGAUCGCAUGGUCUGCGGUUGAAAGCUCCGGCGGUGAAGGAUGAGCCCGCGGCCUAUCAACUUGUUGGUGGGGUGAUGGCCUACCAAGGCGACGACGGAUAGCCGGCCUGAGAGGGCGACCGGCCACACUGGGACUGAGACACGGCCCAGACUCCUACGGGAGGCAGCAGUGGGGAAUAUUGCACAAUGGGCGAAAGCCUGAUGCAUCGACGCCGCGUGAGGGAUGACGGCCUUCGGGUUGUAAACCUCUUUCAUCAGGGAAGAAGCAAAAGUGACGGUACCUGCAGAACAAGCGCCGGCUAACUACGUGCCAUCAGCCGCGGUAAUACGUAUGGCGCAAGCGUUGUCCGGAAUUAUUGGGCGUAAAGAGCUCGUAGGCGGCUUGUCACGUCGGAUGUGAAAGCCCGGGGCUUAACCCCGGGUCUGCAUUCGAUACGGGCAGGCUAGAGUGUGGUAGGGGAGAUCGGAAUUCCUGGUGUAGCGGUGAAAUGCGCACAUAUCAGGAGGAACACCGGUGGCGAAGGCGGAUCUCUGGGCCAUUACUGACGCUGACGAGCGAAAGCGUGCGGAGCGAACAGGAUUAGAUACCCUGGUAGUCCACGCCGUAAACGUUGUGAACUACGUGUUGGCGACAUUCCACGUCGUCUGUGUCGCAAC
rnacentral:rRNA from 1 species